UCACGGCUGCCGCUCCCCGUCGGUGCCGCCAUUUCGCCGCUGCAUUUCAACCCUAGCCCGUACAAUGGCGUCUGGUCCUCGGGCCAAUGCAAGCAUCGUAGCCUCCGUGGCUUCUCUCUCUCUCUUCGCGGUAUCCAAUGGCGCCGCUGCUCGAGGGGCGACCGAGCGGUCCCUGCCCGCGGCGUGCUCCGCCACGCGGGGGCCGAGGUCGCCGUCCCCGGCGCAUAGCCUGGGGUGUCGAUAUCGCUUCCGCCGCUGUCCUCGAUGACCUCUCCCUCCGCCGGGUUCGAACCCAUUCAACCAGGGUUGAUAAGGCUGGGUUGCCUCAUUGAUAGGAUCAUGGCGUUUACAGAUUGCGGAAUUCUGGACGAGGUGGGUUAGGAACUUGUGGAUGAUGCCAGGCUCUGUUUCUGCUGUGCCUGCCAAGCGUGUAGGUUCAUUGGGCUAUGCUCAAAAUUCGACAUGCUAGGUAAUUUCUGAUGGUUAUUAGGUAGCAUCACCGUUGUGCUCUAGGUAUGUCCGUUGUAUUUGUUACAGCGGUUUCUUUGCAAACAAGUUACGCCGUCUUGCUUGGCUUGAUUCCUACAUCUUGCAGCACCGAACAUCUUAUCUUGUUUGAACCUCGUUUGUCUCCUAAAACAGAUUGUAAGAACCUCUUUCCAAGACCUAGUGAAACAAUAAUUUGCAGACGCUUCCUUCCUUAUAUACCUUAGGGAAUUGCGGUUUAUCUUCCAGUUGAUGACCACUCACUAAUCUUUAGAUAUUGCCAGGCAAAGGUGUUGAAAAUUUGUAAAAAAUGACUAUUUAAUUGUUACUGGACUCUUAGUUUUAAACUGUUUUCAUCCACCAACAGAACUGAAGCUUGUUUCCAUUAUUUGUCAGAGGUUAGAUUCCUUUUGCACUUGUUUUCAUUUAGGUAGGUCUUUUGUGAUAUAUGAAUUCAAAUGCAAUGGAUGCUUUUUUGAAAGUUAAACUCACAUACUGCCUGCAACAUUCAUUUGCAUCCAUUUAUUUCACUCAUAUGUUCACACGUUCAGUAAUAUUUUUUCCUCCUAAGUUUUAAUGAUGGUUUUUCUUGUUCUUUCUAGGCCAUUCAUUCUAUGCAUAUAAUGUUGAUUUGCAUGAGUGUAAAUAAAGCCAACUGACUUAGGUUAUGGUUAUCAGCGAUGGUAUGUAAUGGAGUGUUUCAUAUUCGAUCCCUGCCUAUGUGGUGCAGUAAUUACUUGCAUGUUUUUCCUCAUAAGUAAUCUUUGGUAAAAAAAAAGGUCAUUUGUAGUUACUUGCCAAUAUUGUUUUUGCUAUAUUUGUAUCUCUGUAUGAAGUUUAGGAAAAUGCAUGUAGAUUUCAAUUAAUGUGGUCAUUGAAGGAACUAUGUCAAUUUCUAUUGUUAAUUCAUUGGCAUCCUAUAUUGGCACUGCACAAUCUUGCCACCUUAUUUGUUCUUCAAAUUGUGGGUCCAAAAGGCAUGAGAUCUUGUAAGGGUUUGUGAAUAAAGAUAUAUCAACACUGCAGUAGGGUUUUACAUUAAUUUUCUUUUGGAUGCAACAAUGGUAGAACCGUAGGACCGUCAGCUACGCUUUUCUGCUGCUGAGUCUGAAAUCUUUUGUAACAAGGAAGCCUAUAUUUCCUCUUUUAUGCCCUGUUUGUUCAAUAAACACUCAACACAUGUGCUUGCAUAUGUUCAAAUAUAAUGCAACAGUGUGUGCCAUGUAUUAGUUUUUUAUGGUAUCAGAGCCUAUUGCUCGUGCUCCCUCUAUCUUAUGUUCUACAUCUCGCAACAAUGAGUGUUGUCCUCCUUUCAGACCAUGAAUGCUACUAGCAUUGAACCCCACAUUUUCCUCUCUCUUUAUUGAUAUUUAAUCCUCUUAACUACUAUAAAUGGAGAGAUUAAUUCUAGCGAGAUGCUCUUGAGAACCAUGUUCACACCAAAAGCCAAAAGCCAAAAGCCAAAAACUCCUUUCAACCAGCUUCUCAGCACGCCAAAAGCUAGAAAAGUCAUUUCAACAAUCUUAUCAGCUUUUAGUUCAUUUCCUCAUAAGCCAGUUUUUCAGUUUUUUAAAAGCCAGCUUUCUCAGUAGCCUGCAGAAGCCAGGAAAAGCCCAACCAAACAAGGCCUUAAUACGGGAACAUAAUAAUAUAUGAGAAAUUCAAGGAAUCCCUUCAUGUAAUACAUGUGCUUUUUUGCAGAUCUUCGUAACAUUAUUACAAUUAAAUCAAUAUAUGGAAAUAUGGUCUGUAAUCAAAGGAAGGACUACAUCAUUACAAUUUUGUUUGAUUAUAGUAGUGAAGUGUGUAAUUCUCAUAAAUUGAUAAUCUUGAAACCUAACCUGGUGAGUGUAACCCUGGAAUAUAUUCAAAGCUACUUAACUUGGGUAAAAAAAUUAGGAAUGUGCUAUGUGAUGUAGCCUACAUGGUCCGCAACACGAGGCCAGAGUCACUGACGCCAAUGUCUAUCCUAUGGCAUCAAGCUGGCAAUGUGCUGUACUGUACCUUGACAACAUCCUCAACCUCAUCUCUCUUUGGCCUACUUGUUGCCGCAUUCCAUUUUUCUAUAGCAUACUUGUGAGGGUUAUAUGUUCUUCAUUCUAAAUAGUGCUGAUACAUUUUAGGGAAUGGUUAGUGCCAUCUCAUUGCAUGGAUCAUGAUGUUUAUGACUGCAAGAUUUUGUUUGACAUGUUUAAGGAACAUAUGGAGAAAGGUCAAUUAUUUGUUGUAAUGUCUUGUCCCAAUGCUUAUAUGUUUUUGGUACUUUUAUCAACAUUUGAUAUGCUUAUUACUUUUUAAUGCCUCUAAUUAGAUGUCACAUGCAGAGGCUUGCUCACCGUUGAGUUCUGGGCAUUCCCUUUAUUUCUUUUAUGGUUGCUUUGUUUAGCUGUAGUUAUCUAACAUACUUAACAUAAUACAUGCCUGCUGUUGCUGCUCUUGCGUGCCACAACAUUUCCCCCCGUGCAAGACAUGUUGUGGGGUGAGCAACUAGAAGCGCCUAAACUUGUGAGAUUUUGAUAAUUCUCAUUUAGCUUUGUUUCAAACUAUCAUUUAAUUACUCCAAUAUUUUCUCUAGCUAAGUUUGUUACAUCUAUCUCUAAUUAACGGGACAAGGAAGGACAACAGGGAGUCAACUUGCUUAUCUCCCUCUUUCUAUCUCAAGUAUGUUGUUUCUCUACAGCCGAGCUGUCCUAUUCCCCUUCUAUAUUGUGCACAAUUCCUAUCCCCUCCAUCUUAACCCUUGCUGCAGGAUGCAAGGUCAUAAAGCUACUUUCAUCUACCUCUCGUUCAUUCCUAGUACGAUCUCUAUCCCAAGCACAUAAAACAUGCAAUAGAUGAUGAAAAACUUUCUGAAUGGUAUUAAAGUGAAGCAGGGAAAUCUAAUUGUAUUUUCCAAAAAUUGGAUCUUUUGAGUGGAAUAUCACCAAUUCUCAUUUUUUUUCUCUAAAAAAAGUAGGUCCCACCGGGAUUCGAACCCAGGUUGCCAGAUUCAAAGUCUGGAGUGAUGACCACUACACCAUGGAACCAUUUUAUGUCUACUGCCCUUGGAUAUUUAUCAUAGCAUUUAUCCAUAGAACAACCUUUUGCUUUUGCUUGCCGUUCUCAAUAAAAUCAGGUGAGGAAAAAACUAUUUUCCAUAUUUUAACUGAUGCACCUUGCUACUUCAUAGAACGGUGUUUAGGGAUAGUGGGAUAUUUAUUUGGACAGUAAGGGAGGAAAUGAAUUCGAAUGAAGAGGCAAUUUCCCUCCAAUUUGAUGAUUGUUUUUUGAAUUAAUUCCUUGUCUGGAACUAAUGAUGAUCUUUUUUUUCCGAAUGGUAUUAAAGUGAACCAGGUAAAUCUAUUUGUAUUUUCCAAAAGAUUGGAUCUUUUGAGUGGCAUAGCACCAAUUCUCUUUUUUUUCCCUCAAAAAAGUAGGUCCCACCAGGAUUCGAACCUAGGUUGCCAGAUUCAAAGUCUGGAGUGAUAACCACUACACCAUGGAACCAUUUUAUGUCUCUGCUGUCCCUGGAUGGUAUUUAUCAUAGCACAUAUCAGUAGAAUCACUUUUUUGCUUUUUCUCACAAUUCUCAAUAAAACUGGUGAGGAAAAAAAUUAUCUCCAUAUUUUGACUGAUGCACCUUGCUGCUUUAGUGAACGGUGUUUCGGGAUCGUGGGAUAUUUAUUUGGGCAGUAAGGGUGGAAAUGAAUUUGAAGGAAGAGGCAAUUUCCCUCAUUUAAUGAUUGUUUUGUGAAUUAAUUCCUUGCUAUGUUUGCAUUUAGCUUAGAUGGCCUGUUAAGCGUCAUGUUUUGGCGAGGAACGUGUCGGAUUUGUGUUUGAUUGUCACCAUUUUUGUAUUAGAGAGAUCAAAGCAUUGUUAUCGCAGCGCUCGAUACAGGGACACGCAUGUCCAAAAAAAUUUUGCCGCGUCGACGCGUAUCCCCGAGUCGAUACGCACCAGACACGAUCCAACACGCAUCGGACACUUCUCCAGCGAGUCCAAGCGACAGAGAUAACAGAGGCGCUGCUUGAGGAUGGAAGAGUGGGGAAUGAGCUAACCCAGGUCGCAGCCGUCACUUCACGUCUUCAUGCCUUCGUUGAUGUGGCCGUCGCUGCUUGUCAUCUCCACCGCCGCCGUUAAUGCACGCCCUCGUAUCGAGCGGGAAGGAGACAAGAUGACAAAUCGGAGGAGAACGUGAGUGAGGAGGGCUACGGUUUGCGGACAGCAACUCCGGCGGCAGCUCGCCCUCCAUCCGCGCGUGCGAAGCUGCGGCGGCGGCGGCAGCUCUCCCGCCUCUCUGUGUGGUGUGUUUCGUGUGCCUGUGGGCUGCUGUGACUUGAGAGGUAAAAAAAGCCCUAGUGGGCUACUCUGCUGGUGGGCUUUGGCAGUAGGAAAGGUGAAUGGAUCGGGCUAGCUGGUUCUGUUGGGCUGGGCAACAUCUUUUCUCUUUUUUUCCUUUCCUUUUCUAAUCUCUACAACUUUUGUGCAGUUUACGAGUGACACAUCCUUUAUACAUGUAAAUGGAUGUUUACAGGUGUUUUAACCACAAAUUCAUAUGUUAGUCCAAAUAUAUACUUAUAUUAUUUACUACUCAGAAUAUAUACAAUAUAUUUUUAAUAAAAAUUAAUAUAUAUUAGACGAAUCCCCGAAUCCUAUUUUCUAGAUAUUGCCGAAUCGGACACCCGCACCCGAGUUGGACUCUAACACCCGCACUCGUGUUCCGGUAACACUGUGGGGCUGUUGAUGAUGCACACUUGUUUUGCAAAUUAGAUGUUACAUGUCAACAAAGUGUUUAACAAGUACGGUAUAAUGGUUUAUGUGAGAGAUAUUUGCAAACUACUACCUCCAUUCAGAAAUACAUGAUGUGUCAAACUUCCUUUACUUCGGUCAGUAAUAUAUACAAAUCUAUAUUGAUUGAUCACAUGGGAAUAGUACCAUUAGAUAUUUGUGAGAAUUACUUUCAAAAUAUAAUGUUUUAAUACCUUUUACUAACGUACUACUAUAGAAAUUGAUGAUUGAAAUUGCUUAUUGAAGACCAUAUCUUGUCCAAAGGGUCAUAUAUUUAUCCUUGAAGAGUAAAUUGCACGGUAGGUCUGCAACCUUGUGGGAUGGGUGUAAGUAGGUCCAUAAACUUAUGCUCUGGAUUUUAUAUCCACGGACCUGUAUAAGUGGUUCAAAGUGGCCUAAAGGUGGUUUUGCCUAGCCUGAUACAUGUGACACUAGAUGUUUAUGUGGCACACAUCAUCCACUCCACCUUCCCCUCUUUUCUUCCUUCUGCUUCUCCCUCUGAGAAUGAGCAAAGCUAGCGGCCAGGCUCAUCACUGCGCUGCUUUGGGGACCAUGGCUGGGGCUGCUUCAUGCAUCGACCCACGAACCAUGGCUGGCUAUCAUGCACACACAGGAAUCAACACCACCUGACCUGAUGAAGUAGACACACAGGGAGAGAAAGGAGUAGAAAAUGCAGACAAGAAAUAGGUGAGGAUCUCAACCAAGGAGAAGCCCAGGCUGCUGUAGUUGCAAGUUUCACACCAAAAUCUGAGUGGACUUGAACUCCAACUCCCUCGCUUCUCCCAGACACUCCUUGUGUACAAAUGCUAGAUCUUCCAUUUCAUCUACACAAAUUAAAUUGGUUGUGGCAGCGAACUUGUGCAUACAUGCUGUGAACCUGGAUGCUUGUUACUUACGUUUCUUAAAUGGAACGGGGGUCAUACCUUAUGUUUGGAUCUACACAAAUUAAAUUAUGCGAGAUCUAAUCCUAUAUAAAUACCCAAAAGAUCCCAGAAAUGGCAAGGAAAAGUUGGGAGAUUUCAUGCCACAUGAGCUUGAAAAUCAGAUCCACAGGUAAAUAUUGUGGGGAGAAAACAACACAAUCAUGAAAAUUAAGUAUAAGGGGUAGUGACAAGCAUCAAUUCUCUUGAUUGUCUGCCAAGGUACACAGGCAGUUGAAAAGCAGGGAUGGAUUUUUAAGGUCAUAUCUCGUUUUCUACCAUGUGAAGCCACCUCAGUGCUCUUACCAGCGUGGAAGCCAUGUAAGCAGCAAAACAUUUUAGACUUCCCUCAAACAGUUUUACAAACUGAUGAACCUAAAUGCCUAGUUUUCAAGCUCGUGGACCUGCUUGAACCCACCUUGCAAGUUUAUGUACAUGUAGUUCAGUCUACUCAUUCUUCAACAAAUGGAGUAUUGAUGAUGAAAAAAAUGUUUAUUUGAACUCAGGAUUUUGUGGUAUAGUGGAAGUUUAUCUCAAUGAUCCACAUUGGCAUAUUUUCGUUUGAAAUUUGUCCUGAAUGUGCAGGGAAAUAAUGAUUUUAGUCUGAUCAUUCUUUUAGGAAAUCUAAGCGGCAACAGAAACUGGAUUCAGCCUUUUCAAGUUUGUCUUGUACUCUCUUUACUGUUCUGGAUGUCUUCAUUUCCCGUUUUCCAGAUGCUAGUAUCUGUCACCAUCUUGCUGCGAGAACUGAGUAUUUAGAGGCCAAUGCCCAUCAGUUUAGAUCGUGGCAAAGCAAGUUAUUAUGAACUGCCAUAUGAACGUGAAAGAUGGCGCCUGAGAUGAUGUGAUAGUGCUCGUGAGCAGAAGUAUGAUAUCAUAUUAUGUCACCUGUAAAGGCCAACUAGAUGUCUAACCAAUAAAUUUCUUAGCAACUGUUUUUUUCCUUGUUUUAUGUGGCCUAACUGUAACUUUUUGUUAAGAUGGUUUAGGUGGGUGCUCCAGCAUAUGCAAAUUGGCUAAUUUAUUGGUUUUUCGAGAAGAGGUGGACGGAGGCAAAUGAGAGCUGGUACUGCUGUUAGGGGACAUGUGCUCCUCCUGUGCAAUUGACCUGGAUCCAUGGCCUACGGAAGGUAUAUCAUUACAUGAACAAAACAAUUGCUGAAGUAGACCAGCCCAGAAUGUAUGACUAAAUGUAUUCGUCAACCAAGGAAAGAAUGCUGCUUCAUCCCCUGCUAUUAUGGAAGUGGAACACACUUGCAUGCAGUAUAUGACGGGUUACUGUUGAUGAAGAACUCGAUCGUCCUCGAACAUGGUCUGAGGCUUUUCAGAUGGGAGAAUGUUCUUCAGCUUGGCAAACCAUGGUCGGAGGCUCUGAGCUUUGCCAAUAUGAUGCCUGAAAAAUUAUUUUUCUACGAAUUAACCCCCUGUUUGGAGUGCGAGAAACAAAGAACAGGCAGAGCAGGAAAAGGGUAUAAGCGGUAUUGUUGUGUAUAGUGUAUACCUGGAAAAAUAUCAUUUCUUUGUUUUCGUUUCUUUUAGUACUGUAGUCAAAUAUUCCUGCAACCAAACUACAGUUGUAUUAUCUGCGACGAACAGAACUACAGAAGGCAGCUUGAGUUGGAUAUAAUGGGAAGAUGCUGAAUGGAUUAUAGGAAAA